rnacentral:rRNA from 1 species
UACGUAGGGUGCGAGCGUUGUCCGGAAUUAUUGGGCGUAAAGAGCUCGUAGGCGGUCUGUCGCGUCGGUCGUGAAAACUUGGGGCUUAACCCUGAGCUUGCGGUCGAUACGGGCAUGACUGGAGUUCGGCAGGGGAGACUGGAAUUCCUGGUGUAGCGGUGAAAUGCGCAGAUAUCGGGAGGAACACCUGUGGCGAAAGCGGCGCACUGGACCAUAACUGACGCUGAUGCGCGAAAGCUAGGGGAGCAAACAGG